ensembl:snRNA U1 U1 spliceosomal RNA
AGCCUCUCUUGUUCUGGGAAGGCACCUUGAUCAGGAAGGUGGUUUUCCCAGGGUGAAACUCAUCACUUGCAGUUCGGGUGUGCUGACCCCUGUGAUUUCCACAGAUGCAAAGCUAAUGAAUAUAGC